rnacentral:tRNA from 2 species
GCCCCUGUAGCUCAGUGGAUAGAGCAAUGGUUUCCUAAACCAUGUGUCGCGUGUUCGAUUCACGCCAGGGGUACCA